rnacentral:lncRNA from 1 species
AAAGGAUUGAUACAUCAAAACGCACUAAGAAUCCCACAUUUUCUUUGUGCUAUCAAGAGGGUUUAGUUAGAUUACUAUCUUUUGAGCCCACUCCAAUAUUGUUGGAUGAUUUACUUGAUUAUAGAGAGGGUUCUGCUUCAGAGAUAAUAUUAGAGUUUAUAAUUCUAUGUUUAAAUUUAGUCUAUUGGUGGUAAAAUUGGCAACUCCAUUAACUAUAGAGCAGGUCC